GGGGAGCUGUAAGUAAGCUUUGAUCCGGAGAUUUCCGAAUGGGGGAACCCAGCAUCUUUUGUAGGAUGUUACCUUUAAGUGAAUACAUAGCUUAUUGGAGGUAGACGCAGAGAACUGAAACAUCUAAGUACCUGCAGGAAGAGAAAGAAAAUUCGAUUCCCUGAGUAGCGGCGAGCGAAACGGGAACAGCCCAAACCAACAAGCUUGCUUGUUGGGGUUGUAGGACUCAAAUGUGGUAGUAAGCAAGAUAGCCGAAUGACUUGGAAAAGUCAGCCAAAGUGGGUGAAAGCCCCGUAGGCAAAAUUUUGUGAGCACCUAUGAGGAUCCUGAGUACGGCGGAACAUGAG
rnacentral:rRNA from 14 species